UACGGAGGGUGCGAGCGUUGUCCGGAAUCACUGGGCGUAAAGGGCGCGUAGGUGGCCCGUUAAGUGGCUGGUGAAAUCCCGCGGCUCAACUGCGGGGCUGCCGAUCAUACUGGCGAGCUAGAGCACGGUAGGGGCAGAUGGAAUUCCCGGUGUAGCGGUGGAAUGCGUAGAGAUCGGGAAGAAUACCAGUGGCGAAGGCGUUCUGCUGGGCCGUUGCUGACACUGAGGCGCGACAGCGUGGGGAGCAAACAGG
rnacentral:rRNA from 1 species